rnacentral:rRNA from 1 species
CCUACGGGUGGCAGCAGUGGGGAAUAUUGCACAAUGGGGGAAACCCUGAUGCAGCGACGCCGCGUGAGUGAAGAAGUAUCUCGGUAUGUAAAGCUCUAUCAUCAGGGAAGAAAAUGACGGUACCUGACUAAGAAGCCCCGGCUAACUACUGGCCAGCAGCCGCCGUAUUACGUAGGGGGCAAGCGUUAUCCGGAUUUACUGGGGGUAAAGGGAGCGUAGACGGCGCUGCAAGUCGGGAGUGAAAGCCCAGGGCGUAACCAUGGUACUGCUCUGGAAACUGUGGAGCUUGAGUGCGGGAGGGGAAGGCGGAAUUCCGAGUGUAGCGGUGAAAUGCGUAGAUAUUAGGAGGAACACCAGCGGCGAAGGCGGCCGGCUGGACCGUAACUGACGCUGAGGCUCGAAAGCGUGGGGAGCAAACAGGAUUAGAUACCCCAGUAGUC